UUGCUUCCACUAAAUUCUCUAUCCCCUUCUCUCUCUCUCUCUCUCUCUCUCUCUAAAUUAGGGUUUUUUUUUUUUUUCUCUAUGAAGAGAGUUCACUUUGAUCAGAAAAUUGAAGAGACCAUAUAUGAGUUCUUCAUUCAUCUAAUUUUAAGUUAUUCUUGAGUGUUUUUUAGUAUAAAUUAGUUCCUUAUAACUCUACUAAGAAUAUAUGUCAAGAAAGCAAGGAUCUUGAAAACUGACAGCCCUAAGCAGCAAUCCAAAAGAUCAAAAUGGGAUCAACAACAACAAGCAACCAUUAUUACAGCCCUUGUGCAGCUUGCAAAUUCCUAAGAAGAAAAUGCUUAGCAGGCUGUGUUUUUGCACCCUAUUUUCCGCCUGAAGAACCCCAAAAAUUUGCCAAUGUCCACAAGGUAUUUGGAGCGAGUAACGUGGCGAAGCUCUUGAACGAAGUUCUUCCUCAUCAACGACAAGAUGCCGUCGUUUCGUUGGCCUACGAAGCUGAGGCAAGAAUCAGAGAUCCUGUUUAUGGGUGUGUUGGAGCCAUUUCUUUCCUCCAAAAACAGGUCCAAAGGCUUCAAAAGGAACUUGAUGCUGCUAAAGCUCGCCUUUUUCUCUACUCUUGCACUGAUUUCUCAACUCCCUUUUUGCCUCACUCUCAGAUAAUUAAUACUCCUCAUCAUCCAGUGAUUUGGAAUAAUAAUAGUAAUUAUAAUAUCAACAAUCAUAAUGAUAUUAAUAAUCCUUCUAUGUAUUUUAAUGGAGGAAUUUGAAAGAUGAAAAGGGUUAGUGGGUUGAGUUUAUUGAAGGGUUUGUUUAAUAUUCUUAUAAGAACUCAAUAUUUGAGAUCUCUUUGUGGUUGGAAAGAGUUAUUGUAGACUAUAUAUAUCAAUAUUGGCUUGUGCUAUUAGGGUUUAGUUUUGAUGUAUUCUAUCAUAUUAUUAUUAUUAGAGUCCAAAUCUUUAGUCAUGUGCUUGUGGAUGUUGUUAUAAACAUUUUGUUUAUCUAUAGUUUUAAUUACAUGUCA